GAGUUUGAUCAUGGCUCAGAACGAACGCUGGCGGCAGGCCUAACACAUGCAAGUCGGACGAACCCUUCGGGGUUAGUGGCGGACGGGUGAGUAACGCGUGGGAAUAUACCCUUUGGUACGGAAUAGCCUCGGGAAACUGAGAGUAAUACCGUAUGUGCCCUUCGGGGGAAAGAUUUAUCGCCAAAGGAUUAGCCCGCGUUGGAUUAGGUAGUUGGUGGGGUAAUGGCCUACCAAGCCGACGAUCCAUAGCUGGUUUGAGAGGAUGAUCAGCCACACUGGGACUGAGACACGGCCCAGACUCCUACGGGAGGCAGCAGUGGGGAAUCUUAGACAAUGGGGGAAACCCUGAUCUAGCCAUGCCGCGUGAGUGAUGAAGGCCUUAGGGUUGUAAAGCUCUUUCAGAUGGGAAGAUAAUGACGGUACCAUCAGAAGAAGCCCCGGCUAACUCCGUG
rnacentral:rRNA from 1 species